rnacentral:rRNA from 1 species
GUGGGGAAUCUUGCGCAAUGGGCGAAAGCCUGACGCAGCCAUGCCGCGUGAAUGAUGAAGGUCUUAGGAUUGUAAAAUUCUUUCACCGGGGACGAUAAUGACGGUACCCGGAGAAGAAGCUCCGGCUAACUUCGUGCCAGCAGCCGCGGUAAUACGAAGGGGGCUAGUGUUGCUCGGAAUUACUGGGCGUAAAGGGCGCGUAGGCGGACAGCUUAGUCAGAGGUGAAAGCCCAGGGCUCAACCUUGGAAUUGCCUUUGAUACUGGCUGUCUUGAGUUUGGGAGAGGUGAGUGGAACUCCGAGUGUAGAGGUGAAAUUCGUAGAUAUUCGGAAGAACACCAGUGGCGAAGGCGACUCACUGGCCCAAUACUGACGCUGAGGCGCGAAAGCGUGGGGAGCAAACAGGAUUAGAAACCCGAGUAGUCC